GUCGUGGCCACCAGCGAGCGGCAAGGGCGCAACCAGUGAUAAAGAUUGAGGUCUACAGUCGGCAGCCCGGUUGUGGCCAAUGUCCUUGCACGUUGGCCUCCAAUGCCUAGAUGAAGGUUCUAAGCCCUAGGUGCUCUCCUCCUUGGCGUCGGAUCUAACUUGCUGGAGAGUGUUCAAUCCUGGAUGGGUUGUCAGCAGCUAACAGACAAAGUAUAUUUUGCAGUACAAAGGAAACUUCAGAGAAGAUCUAGGCCAAGAACAAACUGACCAUUUUGCAGGCAAGGUCAUCUACAUUCAUGUUCUGUUUCGAGAGAUGGGGCAUGUAUGGAUUGAGGAGGUCAAGAAGUUGGCAUAUUGGCAAUAUAUUAAUUUCAAGCAACAAGGGAGACCCAAAAUGGCACGCGUUCCCCGGAUUACGCAUUAUUGUGGAGGAGGACCAAUUGUGGGCUGCAAUAUCUUGUGGGCUGCAGUAUCUACGGGAUAUGUAGAGAAAUAAAGAGGAAAAUCUUGUGGGCUGCAAUAUCUACGGCCAGUCAAAUCACAUUAUUUAGUAGGAGAAAUAAAGAGGAGGACCAAUUGUUGUUGUGGAUAUGUAGAGAAAUUCAUUCUGACCAUGGUGUAUUUUAUAUGGAAACUUUUUCUUUGAUUACAUCUUUUUCUUUAAUUGAGGCUUCUCUUGUAAACCUAAUGAUAUAGCCAUAUAGGAGGAAAUUGUUCCGCAUGAUCCUCAUAUGAUGAAUACGAAGUGAUAUCUUCCCUUCUGGUAGCCAGGCUCGAUUAAAAUUUCAGUUUAGAGUUCAUGAUUAUGCACUAAUCUGUUUAGAAAUAAAUAUUGUCUUGGCAAAUAUUAUUAGCCAUUUUCGUGAAAAUUUGGUGAAAAGUCAUUUGACAGGUUCAGGUAAAGAUUUUCCAUAUUUUUCGUUUGACGAGUUCUGGUAAAUAUUUUCUCACAGUUUAUUUUGUGUCCAAAUUCACGUGUUUCAGCUUAUUUGAUGUUUAUCAUCGACUUUCAUAAGCCUUUAGGAUUUGCUUUUGUUUACCAGCAACUUCAAAGGUGUUCAGAAAUGCUCUGUUUCAAGUGCUCUGUUUUGAGAUGCUGGAAAUGCUCUUUAAUACUUAUCGUUAUUAAAUUUGAGUUUGCAUUUUGGAAAAAAAUAGCUAAUGGGUGCUAGGGAUAAUGACCGUUGCUUCAUUACAAUUCAUGUUUACCAUUUAUUUGUGAUUAAGCUCGAUUGUUUGUCACGAAAUGACACAUGUAAUAGGCAUGAUAUUUCACUACCAUUCAAUUAUAGCUUAUGUACCCUCUACAUGUCAUUGUUUUGUCAUUCAGGAUAUCCGCCUUGGGCUCUACUCUGGGAUCGCGUCUGCAAUGUUGAGCCACACACGGAGGUACAGUCGUGGGAUUCGCCGUGGUCAGUCUAACCCCUGGCAAGGUGUCAACACUAGCGAUCUCGCCAUCUCUCUACCAUCCCGAGGUAAACAAGGCAUCUCUAUCCUUAGGCUGACUUGCUGCAACCUCAUAUGGAAGUCUUAUCACCAAGGGGCAACAAAAUGACAGUGUGUAGCCAGCUAGAGAAGUGUUCUAUUUGCAGUAUAAUUUUAUUCUCAUAUUAGCUAAUUGACAAACAAUAGGCGCACAUCAGCGUGCAAUGUUUUCAGCAAUUAGACAUCUAUACUCUGCAGUUAUUAGCUUUUCCAUUGUUCUGGCUUUGCCCAUCUACGGUUCUUCCUUUUAGUUAGUUGGUUCACUCUCUCUAUGCAAUUGGCAUGUACUGCUAUGUAUGCUAUGCACCGCAUUGGUUAAACAUGGUUAUCGGGUUGAGCUAGAAGAACACAUCAUUUUCUAUAUUGCUUUGCUUUAAACAAACUAGAAUUAUAUGAUUACCUCACAAAAUGCUUUCCGCGAACAUGAACGAUAUAUGUUGAUCCGACGAAAUUAAAGUUUUAUCUGACCAUGGAUAGUUUUAUUUUUAAGUGUGCCGCACUGAUGGAAGAGUUUUUUUGGUGAUCUUCUAUCUAGAUUAGCCGAACAUGAUUCACUUGAAGCAUUUUUGCCGCUCCCUCUUGAGUGUUUUGUAUUCUCUUGUGUACUUAACCACUAGCAUUUUUGAAAUCAUUUGAAGAAGCUUUACGUAUUUAUCCACUUGAGGAUGGACAUGCUACCAGAAACUUUGAUAGUUAUUAUUAUUAACAAGUGUUAUUUCAGAUACCUACAGUUAAAUCUCUUAUCUUUUUUCUAGGUUUUGGUACAUGGAUCAGUAGAGGCUACCUAAUAUUUUAGAAUACAUUGGGCAAAGACCUCGGACUUGCAUAUUUAUGGUCCUCAUGUAUAAGAAAAAAUUGAUAUAGCAUCAGAUUUAUGUGUUUACUAGGUUUGUUUGUUAAUUCUGGAGCUUUUUUAAUUCUCAAAAAAAUAUUGUGUUAAUUCUUACCUGAUGGCUUUAACGAGAUAAGAGGUAAAAUUUAACAGUUAUCAACUUACCGAUAAGAGGUAAAAAAUAUUGUGUUAAUUCUGGAGCUGUCAUGAUUCAACGUGCCCUAAAAAAAGCCAUGGCUGAAAUAAUGAAAUGGAAGAUAUACACUCUCCUCAAUCUUUCAUAGCGGAUCCUUUUUUACAUUCUAUACUUCUGCAAUGUUUUCUUCCUACUUAUAGAUGUUUGGCAUUGUAUUUUUUAACUGGCCAAGGUUAACUGUGUGUCUUCAUCAUCUACUGCAGGGAAAGAGCAGCUUAUGCACAAAAGGUGUAUAUCUUAUGCUUUUUACGAUAUUGUAGUCGCACACUGUCACUGAAUUUCUUAGGACGUGUUUAAUUGGCGCGUUUUGUCAGCGAUAUUUGUUCCAAAAUUGACUUCAUAUAUUUUUAGUCAGCGAUAUUUGUAUUGCUUUGUCGGUGCACAUAGAUGAAGGGAAAUUUAUACUUCCUUUUUAAAGAUUCAAACACAGUUAAAUAUCUCAUGUAUUUUCCCGAAUCAUAUGUAAGGCCAUGAUAUAACGGAGGUGUCAGAAAGUUCAGGUGAGAUCCAAAUACUCCAUAACCUCUGAUUUCCUAGAUAUUGGUGCAUUAUUCGUGAUUAUUGAAUUAAGAAACCACACCUUUCUUUAAUUAAAUGGUAAGAAAGGCCACAAAACUAUGAUGUAAUUAGGAAGCGAAACUGAAAUCUGCUACCUGAUGUUCUGCUUGGACAUAGGAUUCAGUUUUUAAUUGCGGAAAUCAUCCAAGUUGACACUUCUGAGUUGUGGUGUGCAGACUUUCUACCUGCAUUUUAUGUUAACUUGGUGCUGCCAAUCUUGGCCAGCCAUUUGUAUACUUGGUCAUGUGCUCUAAUUCGGUCCUUAAUCUCUUAUUAAGCAGUAAGUAAAGAAAGCUCUUCAGAUAGAUAUAAUUUCGAGAAUGACUGAAACUUGAUUUUUUUUUUGCAUGUUUAGCUGUGUUGCGGCUAUAUUAUAUGUAUAUAUUAUGUCCAAGAGAUAUGUGGUGCGGGGAGUCGCUGUUGCAGUACAUGGAAACAAUGAUCUUCCUUUACUUCAUGAUUAGGUGUUUAGAGUAUUCCUGUGCACCAGGGAGCACAAGGAGUUUGGGAGGAAGGACGAGCCCAAAACCAUCCGUCAGCGAUGGCAAGCAGCGAAGGGUCAAGUUGGAGGCAAACAUCAAGAAGCAUGUAAGAAGGUGACAGUCGCUGGAGCAUACUGUAGCUCGGACAAUUACCACAAGAACUUGAGUUUGAGACCCUGAAGCAAACUAGGGACCGUCUUUCCAGCUAGAAACAACAGGGGAAACCUAAAGGUAAAACAAGAAAUCUCGAGGACAUGAAGUGGUGGCCGAGGCGGAGUAGCAUCCCAGCUUCAGCUCGACUUGUACUGCUGAACCAUGCACAUGAGGCUGUCCUUGAUCAUCUCUUUCGGCAGCAGGUCUCCAUCUCUUGCACUCAGAUUGUUCCAGCCAGGGUUCACAAGG